GUCCGCAAUUUAUGGGAAAACUAAGUCUAAAUUUAGAACCAUAUUGAAAUUGAAAGUACACAUGUAAGAUAAAAUAUAACAUGUCAUUUCUUCUUUCCAAUUUCGAAGAGAUAUAUAGCGAAAUCUAUUUUCUUUUAUUGUGCCUGUGUGCAUCAUUCAAAAUAAGAGAAUGUAAUUUUGAAGUAUCAAGUCUCAAUUCAAGAUUAUGAAUGAAUAGAAUAUAUUAUAACGGAGGGGGGGAGGGGGUAGGGCCUUUAUCGGAACUCCGAAAUCGUGUGUUUUUAAGCUCGGGAUUUCGGGAUUGACCCUUUCGGGAUUCGGGAAUUCUAUUUCCGAAUUUCGGGUAGUCGGAAUUUAAUUUUUUUUUUUAAAUUCGGGACCUCGUCGGAUUUCGUGUUUUUAAGCCAGGGAUUUCGGGAUCUGGACCCUUCCUUCCCUCCUCCCUCUAUUAUGGUUAAAGAAAAGAGGUCAGGAAAGUUUUG
rnacentral:lncRNA from 1 species